AGAUAAUUCUAAAGUAAAAGUUUUCAGAUGAAUAAAUCUUUUAUUUUUCUAUUUUAUUUUAUAUAAAUUCAAAAAUAAGUUCAAAAUUUAUAACUCACAAGAUUUAGAUUUUUUUAUAUUAAAUUAAUAAAUAAAAAAAUAAAAAAUAAAUAAAUUUAAGUAGAUCAAUAUUUAAGUUAAAAUCAACAUUGGAUCAAUAUUAAAAUCCAAACCGACACAACCCAUUCAAUUCUGCUACAGAUCGUUCACUUCUAUUUUAAAUGAUUUAUAUAUGAUAAAUGGUCGAUAGCAGAUUAAAUUUUUUUUCAAUCUAAUUGGAUUUGAUCGAAAGAAAUUUUUUGCUCAAUCCAAUGGAAUUCGACCCAUACUCGACACUACUUCCACCCAACAUCCUCCCAAAUUCCACUAAUGGCCACCACAU
rnacentral:lncRNA from 1 species